GGUGCUGCCCAGGAUCAGGAGGCUGAGACGUGAUCUGGAAGUGAGUGCCCAUCCAUACACCUUCCCCAGCUUUGGGGCCACAGAGGGACAGAAACCGCAGGCAGGCUGGCCUGGGAAUGAACCUACACCAGCCUGAAGUCAGAAGAGCCUCUAGGAGCCUCCAGCCUGGACUCUUUUUACAGAUGGGGAAACUGAGUCCCAGAGAGGGAGCAAUGAAGGAUGUCUAAGGUCAUCAGCAACGUAAAGCCAACAGCAUCAUCCUGAGUCAUGUUUGAACCUGAGGGAAAGAAACAUAUGUUCGAAGAGGUUCUGAGGCUGCUGCACCCGAUAUCAUACCUGGUUGGCCCUGGGAAAGGGCCCACCUCCAAUACAUAAACACAACCAGCUUUGACAGUGAGCCCUGAAGCAUGGCAUUGAGAAGCUGCCUAAGAAGGAGGCAGAUCCAUCAGCCUGGGUGCCCGACUGAUUACCCUGAGCAGAGCUCCCCAGCCCACCUGUGAUGGACGCAUGGAGCUUGAGCAAGGAAUAAAUAUUCGUUGCUGGACUCUGAUUACACUGGACCUAUCCAAGAUCUGAGAUCAUCAACUCAUCUCAAAAUCCUUAAGCUGACCACAGCAGCAUCGUCCCUUUUGCAGUGUAAGUUCCCCUCCAGGUUUGCACAGCAUCUGCUGAAGUCUCCACUAGAAACUCAAUGGAAGGUCCCCACCGGAAACUGAAAGUCUCCUAGAGUGGCUUUGAGUUGCGGUUUCACCCUCCCUGCAGAUCCACAGGUGAGG
rnacentral:lncRNA from 10 species